CAGUAGCCACGGUAAUACGUAGGGUGCGAGCGUUAAUCGGAAUUACUGGGCGUAAAGCGUGCGCAGGCGGUGAUGUAAGACAGAUGUGAAAUCCCCGGGCUCAACCUGGGAACUGCAUUAGUGACUGCAUCGCUGGAGUGCGGCAGAGGGGGACGGAAUUCCGCGUGUAGCAGUGAAAUGCGUAGAUAUGCGGAGGAACACCGAUGGCGAAGGCAAUCCCCUGGGCCUGCACUGACGCUCAUGCACGAAAGCGUGGGGAGCAAACAGGAUUAGAUACCCCCGUAGUCCCUGUCUCUUAUAA
rnacentral:rRNA from 1 species